rnacentral:lncRNA from 1 species
GGCAUUGUUUACUAUAUAUAAAAAGAAUGAAUGGUUGAAAGCCAACAUAGAUUAGGCAAAAAGCAUUGGAUGUUUUCUUCAAGAGAUGGAGAAGCACGCACACAUAGUAUGACCCACAUGGAAAGAACCCUAUGUUUCCGAGAAACUUCCUUUAUUUUUCAACAAAAAGAAAAUACAUAAAGUUGAUGAAGUCACAGGAAAAAUGAAUCUAAUAUUCAUCGGUGAGAUUUGCAGAUGUCACAUUGCUUUGUGGUUGUCAUUGUGUGAAUGGGUGUGUGUGUCAAGCCCCACCCAAAUUAGUUUUUGCCAACUGAGCUUUGAUGGCCAUUCAAAAC